GCUGAGGCUGGCUUUGAAUUCUCGAUCCUCCGGCCUCAGCCUCCGGAGCCGCUGGGAUGACAGGCGUGGCCACCGCCUGGCCCUGGCCUUCUCUCUUGGUCCUGGGAGUUGAACCCAGGAGUGCUACCAAAAAGCUGCACCCCCAGCCCUCGAUUGUAGUUUGUCUUUUGAGGCAGGGUCUCUUUUUUCCUGAGUAGUUACACAUGACAGCAGAGUGCAUUUCGAUGCAUGGUGCACCAGGGGAGCACAGCCUUCGUUUCUCUGGUUGUGCACAUCACAGAGUCGCACCGAGCGCGCGGUCAUUCGUGUACCUAGGGCAGUGAUGACCGUCUCAUCCCACCAUUCACCUAUCCCCCGUUAUGGAUCCGCGUCCACUGAACAGACAGAACUUUCGGCCUUGUUCUGGGGACUGGCUCACUUCCCGAGCGUGCUAUUCCCCAGCUCCAUCCGGUCCCCUGCAGAGGCCACGGACUUAUUCUCUUUUCCAACUGAGUUGAGACGGUCUUAUUCGGCUGCUGAGGGCCUCGGUGACAUUCUGAGGAUGGCCUCCGACUUGCAAUCCUCCUGCCUCAGUGUCCCGAGUCGCUGGGGUGGUAGGUGUGCGUCACCACAUCUG
rnacentral:lncRNA from 1 species